GCAAAACACGUUUUUAUUAUCCAUCAUGAUAGUCACAUAAAAAACAGCAUUUGCAGCAACACUCAUUGGAUUGAAAUACCCAAUUUCACUCAACACCCAAAAUGCAAACAUCCCUGAAGCUUGUUUAAAGAAGUAUAUGAUCUAUCAGUGGAGCUCCUAUGUGAAAGAAUAGUUUAAAACGUUCACAGUUACCUUAAUUACAACAUUUACCUUAACUAUAUUCAUAAAUCAGUUUGCUGUAGUCACAUGUAAACCAGUGUGCAAUGUAUAGGCCAAAAUACUUGAAUUCAAGAGAAAAAUAAAUUAUAUAUAUAUAUUCAUUCUUGUUUCACAAUGAACUGAAAAGUUGUAACAUUUAGACCAGAAUAGCAAAGUGGGAAUACAGGUGAUUGCAGAAUUUUUCAAAACAGUUAUUAUAGCACAAUUCACAUUUUCGUGACUAAACCUGAGAAACAGAAUUGUGAAAUUGUGAGCGAAUAGUGAAGAGUGCAUAUCACGCUGUCUUGUUACCAAGACACAUAUUUUCACACUCAGCAUUUCACUGGCCCUUUUUAUAAUCUCCCUGAAGUCUUAUCAUUUUAGGGCAAGGUUGGCUGCUAUUAAAUUCAGUUACCCAUUUUACCUUGAUUUUGCAACUCAGGUCUCAAUUCAACUCAAUGAAUCACACCCUUGCUGCCUUGGAGACUACGAUCUCUUUAUAUCAAGCUUGCGACUUCAACAAUGUGCAAUGUUUGCGACUAUGUCUUUAAAUAUGUAAUAAGCAAUAACAUAUAUUUAAAAAGAGCAACUGUCCCCUGUACUGUCUGCUUUGCAAUAUGUUUUCAGCAGAUGUUGGCUCAUUAAAGCCAACUCAUUGGCUUUGUCACUAGAUAAAUUAAACAUUAUUAUCUGUCUGUUUUAUCAUUUUAUCGUUUUUGCUGUUUAUUCUCUUUUCUUUUGAGUAGGACACAAUUCACCCCUUACAUACUAAAUCACUAUAUAUUUCAUAAUAUUUAUAAUUAUGAAGUUAAUUUUGAUGUUAAUGUUAUUGAGGAGUCUAUCCACUAAAAUGAUAGUAACUCACAAAAUAGAUUUACAUAAUAGCAGAGCUGAUAUGUGCCAGAGUGGAGAUUUUAUUAAUGAAUAGACCCCAGAAAAUGUAAGUGACAAUGCAAGCCUGUUUUAUGGCCACUAGUAUUAGCACAAGCAAAGAAACAACAUACAAACAUCAACACACACAUCUAUACAAUUAAUCAUAAACGAUCACCUCUCUAAAAAUCAAACUACCAGCUUCCGUACUCUCAUUUAGUUACAGCAGCAUCCAAGCUAAAUUACAAAAUAAAAUAUGUAUAUUGGGUGCAGCCAGAUCAUUCUGCCUAGAGCACUUUAAUAUGUUAGUAUGAGUGUCCCAAUCAAGUGAGCCUCUAUUUUCCUCAUUAUGGAAAGAAUAUCUGAGGUGGCUUUAGGGAACAGCUGUUAAACCAUGCAGGUUUUCAUAGGUAAAAGAGAACUAUAAUUGGGGAAGCUUAAAGGACCACUAUAGGCACCCAGACCACUUCAGCUUAAUGAAGUGGUCUGGGUGCCUGGUCCAGCUAGGUUUAACCCUUUUUUCUAUAAAUAUAGCAGUUUCACAGAAACUGCUAUGUUUAUAAAUGGGUUAAUCCAGCCUCUAGUGGCUGUCUCAUUGACAGCCGCUAGAGGCGCUUCCGCGCUUCUCACUGUGAUUUUCACAGUGAGAAGACGCCAGCGUCCAUAGGAAAGGCGGAGAGGAGGAGAGUUCCCCGCCCGGCGCUGGAGAAAGAGGUAAGUUUAACCCCUUCCUCCCCCCAGAGCCCGGUGGGACGGGGACCCUGAGGGUGGGGGCACCCUCAGGGCACUAUGGUGCCAGGAAAACGAGUAUGUUUUCCUGGCACUAUAGUGGUCCUUUAAUUUAGUAGGAUGGAAUAUAGACCAAUUUAAGUUUCCUGACUGAUUUACAUGUUAAAAUACAUAUAAAUAUGCCAUUGCUCAAAAAAAUAAUCGAUAUAGUAAAGAUCUAAAUUGUAUCAUAGAUGUGUAUUCCAUAAUGACAAUUCAGAUCAUACAGUAUAUUGUACAAACAGAGGUAAUUUAGGGAAUAUACGUAUCCACAUUUGAAGAUUCAUUCCACACUAUAAUAUAUAAUUUUAUAAUUGCUUAAUUAAUUGGCUGAGAACAUCAGCUGACACACUCAGACAAUGACCAAAGUUGGAUAGAAUUGAUUUAAAGCAUAAAAGGCACAUCUACUUCAGUGAUAUCACAGAAGACUGGAAGGCCCAGGUGGACAAGGGGACCCUCGUGAAGGAUUGAUAAGUGUUCAGGGGACCCAGGAAAGAGCCAAAUAAUUUGCAAAUAGUUUGACACCUUACCAUGAAACAGCACCAGGCGACUCAUGGCAUCAUAAUUACUAAAGCAUGCAGAUUGGCUGAUGGAGAAUAAAGCUUUGUCCAAUAACCGCAAGAAGUUGUCACCCUGCACUACUAGGUUCUCAAUCUGCAAUCAGUAUAAAACAAAUAAUUUAGGAAUCAAACUAUACUUCAUCGUUAUAUCUAUCAGUUCACUGUGGGAAUUUAGGGUAAUUCUGGUUUUAUUCCUUUUUUAUUUUGUUUUAGAGUUGGAAAAGAAAAAAGAAUACUGAGAGACCUUGCUGCUUUUUUUUUUUAGCAGAAUCUAGAAUGUACUGCUGUUACAUUGUCACAAUAAGGGACCUGAAAUCAAUUUUGAAAUCACCUUUUAAAUCCUGGGGUACCCAGCACCCUGUUUGUGUAUGGAAUGUUUGGACUUACUUUUACUUAAAAUAUUGUUUGUCAAAUGGCACUCCUCAAAUUAUCAGGGUGGAAAUCUCAAUAAAAAUGGCCAUACCAAGGGAUCUCAGUGCUCCAGACAAUUUUAUUUCUCCAAAGUCUACGGUUACAAUUUCCUCAUAUAACAUAGAGAGACUGAAAAGUGCUUGUGUAGCUUGGCACUAUAGCUGGGUUGUGCCACAAGGACCCGCUGCUUGUACGCAGUAUCUCCACUUUGCCUGGAUGGCACUGCUGUCAUGACAUCACUAUACACAACUCAAUUUAAGUUAAGGAAGUGUAGUCUUGUGGCCUCAACAGCCAACAGGCAUUUUCUAUCCUGAGGUUCCUGAGAAUGAUGUACUCACUUCACUGUUGCCCUAGGUAAACAUAUGCUUUAUAUGGCGUGAUCUGUAAACGAGAAAAUAACUGAUUGCUUUAAGUGAGGAGAAACCUAAGUGUCAUUCACCUUUUGUCAAAGUUAACAUUUACUUACAACGUUGCAGGUUAUUUCAGUGUUUAAGGUUUGCAUAUAUACAAAAUGUACAAAUACAAUAAUAUAUGUUAUUGUGUGUCCCAGAGCAGAAUUACGUGAACAAAACUAAGUCAGUUCAUGGAUGUAAUCACUCAAAACUGCUUCCAAGGGGAGGACAUUACAAAAAAAAAAAAAAACAGUCUUGGUUCUUCAUGUCCAGCAUGUAACUAGAUUUGUUGACAACACAAUAGCCUUUUAUUAAUUUUACCAUUUGUAUUUUUUUUUUGUCCCGUGUGCUUUGUCUUCAUUGCAGGUACCGUAUUUUUCGCUCCAUAAGACGCACCUCACCAUAAGACGCACCUAGUUUUUAGAGGAGGAAACCCAGAAAAAAAAAUAUUCUGAACAAACUGUUCCAUAGUGUUU